UCUACUACAAUUGCUUAAUUUAUUGUUGAAAAUUCGUGAAAAAUUGUGAAGUUGUUGAAUUGAAGUUUUCAAGUGUUCAACGAUUUUCAAUUUGUUGAAAAUUCGUGAAAAAUUGUGAAGUUGUUGAAUUGAAGUUUUCAAGUGUUCAACGAUUGUCAAUUUUGAAGAAGUUGUUCGGCAAUCCGGUAAACUCGUUUCAACUCUUACGUUUUA
rnacentral:lncRNA from 1 species